rnacentral:rRNA from 1 species
ACGGGAGGCAGCAGUGGGGAAUAUUGGACAAUGGGGGAAACCCUGAUCCAGCGACGCCGCGUGAGUGAAGAAGUAUUUCGGUAUGUAAAGCUCUAUCAGCAAGGAAGAAAAUGACGGUACUUGACUAAGAAGCCCCGGCUAACUACGUGCCAGCAGCCGCGGUAAUACGUAGGGGGCAAGCGUUAUCCGGAUUUACUGGGUGUAAAGGGAGCGUAGACGGCAUAGCAAGUCUGAAGUGAAAUGCAUGGGCUCAACCCAUGAACUGCUUUGGAAACUGUUAAGCUAGAGUGCAGGAGAGGUAAGUGGAAUUCCUAGUGUAGCGGUGAAAUGCGUAGAUAUUAGGAGGAACACCAGUGGCGAAGGCGGCUUACUGGACUGUAACUGACGUUGAGGCUCGAAAGCGUGGGGAGCGAACAGGAUUAGAUACCCUGGUA